rnacentral:rRNA from 1 species
GACGAACGCUGGCGGCGUGCUUAACACAUGCAAGUCGAACGGUGAAGCGCCUUCCUUUUUGGUGGGUGUGGAUGAGUGGCGAACGGGUGAGUAACACGUGAGUAACCUGCCCCCUUCUUCUGGAUAACCGCAUGAAAGUGUGGCUAAUACGGGAUAUUCUGGGUCUGUCGCAUGAUGGGUCUGGGAAAGAUAUUGUUUCGGUGGGGGAUGGGCUCGCGGCCUAUCAGCUUGUUGGUGGGGUGAUGGCCUACCAAGGCGGUGACGGGUAGCCGGCCUGAGAGGGUGGACGGUCACACUGGGACUGAGACACGGCCCAGAAUCCUACGGGAGGCAGCAGUGGGGAAUAUUGCACAAUGGGCGCAAGCCUGAUGCAGCGACGCCGCGUGAGGGAUGGAGGCCUUCGGGUUGUGAACCUCUUUCGCCAGUGAAGCAGGCCUGCCUCGUUUGUGGGUGGGUUGACGGUAGCUGGAGAAGAAGCGCCGGCUAACUACGUG